CAGCUAAUUCUAGCUGAUCUGAUUACCCAGGUCCCCAGCAGCUCACCUGGCAUGUUACAGCCAGUGUAUGACAGAUUUGGGUCUUCCCGGUUCGAAAUUCUCCAAACAUCUCAGUGAUAGAUCCAGUCUCAAUUCCACCUAAAUGAGCGGCUCUACAGCCAAGAUGGACAGGUCCACACCUGGUGGUCCUCACUACUCUGACUGCUGCCACAAUUUCCAACAUCCUUCCUGGAUACAUCUCUCAGCUUAAAAAGGCACCCACUGUGAUUUCCACUUCAUCCAAUACACAUCCUACAACAGAUAAGUACUCCUGCCAACAGGUGGGUCCCACCAAGAUCAAGAUCACCAGAUCAUCACCCCUUCCUGUAAUCCCUGAAUAACAAUUCCCUAAGUAUCAAUAUGCACCCUAUCCCUCUCCACCGCCUUUUUCUGCUCCUCACAUUCACCUCAGCCCUUUCCCUUCCUAAAUGUACGUGCUGUGCCGCUCCUGCCUCAGCUACAUUUCAGCUGUGUUAUGACUCCAAAAAACAACCAUUCCAAUGUUCCUUCACUGGAUCACCAGUAAUUGAGGUAACUGCCAGUCCUGGUGGAAUUCUCAGAAGUGGCUGCUUUAACAAAUCCCUGGAACAAAGGACUGAAUCAGGAGCAUCAACGCCCAGACAUUUAACCAGAUGCUACUGAGAUAUUACAGCUACCAGCCACUCCCAUCAACCUCAUAAAUGAAUACUCCACCUUCUAGCCUGGCCUAAAACCCACUCUGCCCCGCCUCAGCAGGAAGCUGCUACUUCCUAUAACAAAAAGACUGGAAUGUGAGAGCCCUGAAUCCACAUGGGUGUGGACAUCAAGACAUCUCCCCCACUCUUUCCUGGCAUCAGGAAAACAAAAACACAAAGGUGCUGUGCACCUGGAGAGCCUCACCGUUCCUACAAUUCCCAGCUAUCAAUCAGGGAAACAUCCUGUGCCUCCUGGUACCUAUCACUACCCCAGCUAUAGGCAGUCUCAGAGACUCCCUGUUUCAGGGACAUCUUGUCUCCUGAUAUCUGGUACCCUUUCCAACUGCUCCAGCCUGCAUCCCACAUCCCUUUGUUAGGCCGCUCCAACUCAUCUCCCACCUAUCUGCCCCCUCCCUUGACACCAAUUCCCUAUAAAGCCCCCAGCAUUACACAUGAGCCCUGAGCUCCUCUCCCUCUCAGGCCGCUCCUGGCAGUUCUUUGCCCUAAUAAAACUCUUU